rnacentral:rRNA from 1 species
AUUGAACGCUGGCGGCAUGCUUUACACAUGCAAGUCGAACGGUAACAGGGUGCUUGCACCGCUGACGAGUGGCGAACGGGUGAGUAAUGCGUCGGAACGUGCCGAGUAGUGGGGGAUAACGCAUCGAAAGGUGUGCUAAUACCGCAUACGUACUGAGGUAGAAAGUGGGGGACCUUCGGGCCUCACGCUAUUCGAGCGGCCGACGUCUGAUUAGCUAGUUGGUGAGGUAAAGGCUCACCAAGGCGACGAGCAGUAGCGGGUCUGAGAGGAUGAUCCGGAACACUGGGACGGAGCCACGGCCCAGACUCCUACGGGAGGCAGCAGUGGGGAAUUUUGGACAAUGGGCGCAAGCCUGAUCCAGCCAUGCCGCGUGUCUGAAGAAGGCCUUCGGGUUGUAAAGGACUUUUGUCCGGGAGCAAAUACCCAGUGCUAGUAACGCUGGGGGCUGAGAGUACCGGAAGAAUAAGCACCGGCUAACUACGUGCCAGCCGCCGCCGUAACAC